UACAGAGGGGUGCAAGCGUUGUUCGGAAUUAUUGGGCGUAAGGGCGCGUAGGCGGUGCGGUAAGUCCGCAGUGAAAUCUCUGGGCUCAACUCAGAGUCUGCUGUGGAAACUGCCGUGCUUGAGUGUGGGAGAGGUGAGUGGAAUUCCCGGUGUAGCGGUGAAAUGCGUAGAUAUCUGGAGGAACACCGGUGGCGAAGGCGGCAUCCUGGGACCAACACUGACGCUGAGUGAGCGAAAGCCAGGGGAGCAAACGGG
rnacentral:rRNA from 1 species